AAAAAGUAAUAGGAAUUUCUCAUUAGAAUAAGCUCUUUCUUUUCAAAGAAUCUAGUGAGAUAGAAAUAGAGAAAGGGGGAGAGAAAGGAAGAGAGAAUGAGAAUGAGUGAUCUGACUGCUGUCUAUUUUAGAUGAGACUUAGCUGAUCACCAGAAUUACCUGAGGAAAUUCUUAAAAUACAUACUUCUAGGCUUCAGACCUACUGGAAGCUUAUGUUGCGAUGGAGCCCAGGAAUCUAUAUUUUGAAAAAGCUCUCUCUCCAGGCGAUUCUGAAGAUCAUCAAGUUUAACAAAAGUUAUUAUACACUGCUUAAGCAGGACAGAGAUUUUCUUCAAAGCUACCUUUGGCUAAUGGUAUUACAUUUAUAUGCAUAAUCAGAUAGAAGCAUUACUGUGGCAAAAUUGCCUUGCCACCGCUAGUAUAAUCCUAUAUUGUAGCCCACAGGGGUGCAGUUAGAGAAUAGGAGACUGUCAGUAUAGACUCCAUCCAGUCACACAUAAAAAUAAGGCCUCGCCAAUCAAGCAGGAAAUAGAGGGAGGCGCUCACAUCACAACCUGAACAGAUGGCCACUUUAAAAAAACCUACUCAUCUUGAGUAAUUUUAAGGGAAAUAGGCUAUUUAAAACAAUAACUUAUAAAGUCAGCCCUUAAUUAUAGAUACAUUUGGAAGUAAGUGGUAGCAUGAAUAAUGUAGUUUUCUUCUUAUGAAUAUAUCUGAUAUUUUGGGAAUUUUUAGCAUUUCAAAUAAAGUAGUUACACUAUAAAGAGUUGUUCUUAAUUAUUGAGUGGGAUUGUACUUAAUCUUUUAUGCUGAAUUUCCUUCUCACAAGAUGUCACUCCUCCUGCUAGAAGACAGAUUUCUUCCUUGGCUGACAGGCUGAAUUAAGCAAAAGUAUUUUCUAUUUCAAGAUCAAAUAAAGUUGAUGCUGGUUUGCCAUGCUUUCUAUUCUUUUGAGUACUUGGAGCUAUGUGACUUUGUGCCUGUAUGUGUACAAUAAUGAUACCUAACCAUUUGAAUAGUACUUCACCAUUCUGGAGAAUUUUACACAUUUCAUCUCAUGGAGACUUACAGCAACAAUGUGUGGCAAGUAUUGUUAUCAUUUCAUAUAUGAGAGCAUCUAAGGGUAGUAAAGUGAUUUGUCCAAGGGACAUACUUGUUAGAAAUGAGAUUUUUUUCAACACUUUAAAGAUGCUGGUCCAUUCUCUUCUGGCCUCCAUUGUGUGUCAUGAGAUGUUAGCACUCAUUCUGACUCUUAUUAAUCUCUGUACCUAAUGUGCCCUUUUUACCCCCUGGCUGCUUUCAAGAGUUUCUCUUUUCUUUGGUUUUCAGCAGUUAGAAUAUGAUGUGCCAAGAUGUGAUUCUCUUCAUUUUUAUUCUAUUUAGGAUUUACUGAGUUUCUAAGAUUGGUAGGUGGGUGUUUUUCAUCAAAUUUGGGGAGUUUUCUGUUUUGUUUUUGUUUUACUAUUAUUUCUUCAGAGUUUUUUUGGCCACAUUCUGGCUCUCUUUACCUUCUUGGCCUCCAAUUACAUGUAUAUUAGACCAUUUGAUUUUGUCCCAGAGUCCCUGAGGCUAUAUUUAUUUUUCUUCCAUUUUUUUAUGCAUUUUUCAGAUUGCAUAGUCUCUGUUGAUUUGACUUCACCACUGACAAUCUACUGUUAAACUCCCUGAGGGAAGUUUUCAGCUCUAGAAUUUGCAUUUGGUUCCCAGUAUAGUUCUCAGUUCUCUAUUAGAUUCUCUGCUCACUCAUUAAGAGUAUAUUUUCCUUUAAUUCUUUGAAUGUAUUUUUCUUUACCUCUUUGAAAUAUUUAUAAUAGCUGUUUUACAGUCUUCAUCUGCUAAGUCCAACAUUUGAACCAUCUUGGGUUCAGUUUCUAUUUACUACCUUUUUUCCUGACUAUGGAUCACAUUUACAUGUUUCUUUGUAUGAGUAGUGGUUUUUGAUUGAACACCAGACCUUGUGGAUAACACAUUGUAGAGACUCUAGAUUCUUUUAUCUUCCUCAGAAGACCGUUGGUUUUUUUUUCUUUUUUUGAGACGGAGUCUGGCUCUGUUGCCCAGGCUGGAGUGCAGUGGCGCAAUCUCGGCUCAUGGCAAGCUCCGCCUCCUGGGUUCAUGCCAUUCUCCUGCCUCAGCCUCCUGAGUAGCUGGAUUACAGGUGCCCGCCACCAUGCCCGGCUAAUUUUUUGUAUUUUUAGUAGAGACAGGGUUUCACCGAGUUAGCCAGGAUGGUCUCGAUCUCGUGAUCUCGUGAUCCGCCCGCCUCGGCCUCCCACAGUGCUGGGAUUACAGGCAUGAGCCACCGCACCCAGCCUGACUAUUGAUUCUUGAUUGAAGAAUGUUUAGUGUUGAUUUUUGAUUCCUCAGGAGGCAGUUUAAUUAUUGGCAAAUUACAGUGAACUUGUGUUGGCUUGUUUUUUUGCCCUAAUAGCAAGGAUUUGAAGGAAGUUCAAAGUGUUUCCCAAGCCCUUCUAAUUUGGCAGGACUCAGCUUCCAAAUUCUGUCUCUUUUGCAGAUCUUGUCAGCUCUUGGUUUUAGGUUUUGUUAGGAUGAGUCUAUAAUUUUUAGGGCACAGCCUUUCUGUGGUGCCUCAGUAGAUGGUGGGGCAAUUAAUGAGGGGUUAAGGCAAUAUCUCCACUCUGACAAGGCUAAACCCUACUGUUCCCAGGAUAGCUCUUCUCUAGCACCACUAGACCUCAGGAUAUUGGUUUUGUUCUCAACCCCAUAGCAGCUGUUAUCUGGUAAGCCUUGAGUGAUCUCACCCUAUGCAUAUAUAGCCCAGCCUUUGGCCACAGACUCAUGAGAGACCCCCAUAUGGACUUGGUGCCCAGCUCUGCACAGCUCUCUCCUCUCCAAUGGCCUGCUCUGCAGAGUCUAGCCACCUCCUCCUUAGCUCAAUGAGACUUGUGUCUGCUCAGACUCCAGCUCUCUGUGAUGUGGUCAGGAAAUGGACUCCAAGCA
rnacentral:lncRNA from 10 species